rnacentral:rRNA from 1 species
GCACCUCGAUGUCGGCUCAUCUCAUCCUGGGGCUGGAGCAGGUCCCAAGGGUUUGGCUGUUCGCCAAUUAAAGAGGUACGCGAGCUGGGUUCAAACCGUCGUGAGACAGGUUGGUCUCUAUCUGCUGUAGGCGUGAGUGCUUGAAGGAUGUCUUUCCUAGUACGAGAGGACCGGAAAGAACAGACCUCUGGUGUAUCGGCUGUCCUGCCAAGGGCAGUGUCGAGUAGCUAUGUUUGGUGUGGAUAACCGCUGAAAGCAUCUAAGCGGGAAGCCUUC